GAAGAUAUAGUUCAAUGGUAGAGUGCUUGCCUGGCAUGCAGGAAGCCCUGGGUUCAACCCCUAGAUUUCCA
rnacentral:tRNA from 1 species